rnacentral:rRNA from 1 species
CGGGGCUCAACCUCGGAAUUGCAUUUGAAACUGGCAGACUAGAGUACUGUAGAGGGGGGUAGAAUUUCAGGUGUAGCGGUGAAAUGCGUAGAGAUCUGAAGGAAUACCGGUGGCGAAGGCGGCCCCCUGGACAGAUACUGACACUCAGAUGCGAAAGCGUGGGGAGCAAACAGGAUUAGAUACCCUGGUAGUCCACGCCGUAAACGAUGUCUACUUGGAGGUUGUGGCCUUGAGCCGUGGCUUUCGGAGCUAACGCGUUAAGUAGACCGCCUGGGGAGUACGGUCGCAAGAUUAAAACUCAAAUGAAUUGACGGGGGCCCGCACAAGCGGUGGAGCAUGUGGUUUAAUUCGAUGCAACGCGAAGAACCUUACCUACUCUUGACAUCCAGAGAACUUUCCAGAGAUGGAUUGGUGCCUUCGGGAACUCUGAGACAGGUGCUGCAUGGCUGUCGUCAGCUCGUGUUGUGAAAUGUUGGGUUAAGUCCCGCAACGAGCGCAACCCUUAUCCUUGUUUGCCAGCGAGUAAUGUCGGGAACUCCAGGGAGACUGCCGGUGAUAAACCGGAGGAAGGUGGGGACGACG